UGGGGAAUAUUGGACAAUGGGCGCAAGCCUGAUCCAGCCAUGCCGCGUGAGUGAUGAAGGCCUUAGGGUUGUAAAGCUCUUUCAGUGGGGAAGAUAAUGACGGUACCCACAGAAGAAGCCCCGGCUAACUUCGUGCCAGCAGCCGCGGUAAUACGAAGGGGGCUAGCGUUGUUCGGAUUUACUGGGCGUAAAGCGCACGUAGGCGGAUUGGUCAGUUAGAGGUGAAAUCCCGAAGCUCAACUUCGGAACUGCCUUUAAUACUGCCAAUCUAGAGUCCGGAAGAGGUGAGUGGAACUCCUAGUGUAGAGGUGGAAUUCGUAGAUAUUAGGAAGAACACCAGUGGCGAAGGCGGCUCACUGGUCCGGUACUGACGCUGAGGUGCGAAAGCGUGGGGAGCAAACA
rnacentral:rRNA from 1 species